CGACACGUCAACACUUACGGAGACAUCAAGAUUAAGAUUUCCAGUCCUUCAUGAUGGCCAUGAAACUAAGAACAACUGCAAUAAUCAUCAUGGCUUUGGUGUGGCUGCAAGCAGCAGUUGUUGACGGGUGCACUCAAAACCAUCAUUCGUGUGAAACUAACUUUAAUGUGUGUUGCUCAAAUUCGGCAUGCGCGGCUAUUGCUGGUGAGGGUUUGAAAUGCAAGGACAGAGGGGACAGCUGCUGGAAAGGGGCUGGAGGUUUCAGGAAAUGUAAUUUGGCAUACGGCUUGUUUGAUAGCAGAUAAUCAAACAGCGGCUUGAAUUGAUGAGGACUUCACAGUGUUUCAGGGAUACAAGCUGUCACGACAACAGUUAAAUGUCAAAUGGAUUGUCCCAAAAAUAUCUCAACCUGUAAUUGUUGUUCUACUGACGAUUGAUCAGUAAACUGAAAGUUAAUCUUUCUAUCUGUGCUUUGCUUAUUGUAUCAACCAAUGUCCGAGGCAAGUAAAAUAAGUGU